GACGAACGCUGGCGGCGUGCUUAACACAUGCAAGUCGAACGGUGAAGCUCCAGCUUGCUGGAGUGGAUCAGUGGCGAACGGGUGAGUAACACGUGAGCAACCUGCCCCUGACUCUGGAAUAAGCGCUGGAAACGGCGUCUAAUACUGGAUACGAGAAGGGUCCGCAUGGGCACUUUCUGGAAAGUUUGUCGGUUGGGGAUGGGCUCGCGGCCUAUCAGCUUGUUGGUGAGGUAGUGGCUCACCAAGGCGACGACGGGUAGCCGGCCUGAGAGGGCGACCGGCCACACUGGGACUGAGACACGGCCCAGACUCCUACGGGAGGCAGCAGUGGGGAAUAUUGCACAAUGGGCGAAAGCCUGAUGCAGCGACGCCGCGUGAGGGAUGACGGCCUUCGGGUUGUAAACCUCUUUCAGCAGGGAAGAAGCGAAAGUGACGGUACCUGCAGAAGAAGCACCGGCUAACUACGUG
rnacentral:rRNA from 1 species